rnacentral:rRNA from 1 species
UACGUAGGGACCAAGCGUUGUUCGGAUUUACUGGGCGUAAAGGGCGCGUAGGCGGCGCCGCAAGUCACUUGUGAAAUCUCCGGGCUUAACUCGGAACGGCCAAGUGAAACUGUGGUGCUAGAGUGCGGAAGGGGCAAUCGGAAUUCUUGGUGUAGCGGUGAAAUGCGUAGAUAUCAAGAGGAACACCUGAGGUGAAGACGGGUUGCUGGGCCGACACUGACGCUGAGGCGCGAAAGCCAGGGGAGCAAACGGG